AAGUCUCCUGAAGGAACGUUGAAGACGAUGACGUUGAUAGGCCGGGUGUGUAAGCGCAGCGAUGCGUUGAGCUAACCGGUACUAAUGAACCGUGAGGCUUAACCUUACAACGCCGAAG
rnacentral:rRNA from 1 species